CCUACGGGGGGCAGCAGUGGGGGAUAUUGCACAAUGGGGGAAACCCUGAUGCAGCGACGCCGCGUGGGUGAAGAAGUAUUUCGGUAUGUAAAGCCCUAUCAGCAGGGAAGAAAGAAGACGGUACCUGACUAAGAAGCCCCGGCUAACUACGUGCCAGCAGCCGCGGUAAUACGUAGGGGGCGAGCGUUAUCCGGAUUUACUGGGGGUAAAGGGAGCGUAGACGGCAGUGCAAGUCUGAAGUGAAAGGCAAGGGCUCAACCCUUGGACUGCUUUGGAAACUGUGCUGCGUGAGUGUCGGAGAGGCAAGUGGAAUUCCUAGUGUAGCGGUGAAAUGCGUAGAUAUUAGGAGGAACACCGGUGGCGAAGGCGGCUUACUGGACCGUAACUGACGUUGAGGCUCGAAAGCGUGGGGAGCAAACAGGAUUAGAUACCCUAGUAGUC
rnacentral:rRNA from 1 species